AUUGAACGCUGGCGGCAGGCCUAACACAUGCAAGUCGAGCGGAGCGGCGGACGGGUGAGUAAUGCCUAGGAAUCUGCACGGUAGUGGGGGAUAAAGUACGGAAACGGGCGCUAAUACCGCAUACUAUCAGAUGAGCCUCGGUGGGAUUAGCUAGUUGGUGGGGUAAAGGCCUACCAAGGUGACGAUCCGUAACUGGUCGGAGAGGAUGAUCGGUCACACUGGAACUGAGACACGGUCCAGACUCCUACGGGAGGCAGCAGUGGGGAAUAUUGGGCAAUGGGCGAAAGCCUGAUCCAGCCAUGCCGCGUGUGUGAAGAAGGUCUUCGGAUUGUAAAGCACUUUAAGUUGGGAAGCGUUACCAACAGAAAAAGCACCGGCUAACUUCGUGCCAGCCGCCGCGGUAAUAC
rnacentral:rRNA from 1 species